UAAUGGUUUAAUAGCAAUACUCAUUUGACGUUAGCUGCAGAAGAAGCACCGGCUAACUCCGUGCCAGCAGCCGCGGUAAUACGGAGGGUGGCGAGCGUUUAAUCGGAAUUACUGGGCGUAAAGCGCAUGCAGGUGGUUUGUUAAGUCAGGAUAGUGAAAGCCCGGGGCUCAAACCUCGGAAUUGCAUUUGAAAACUGGCAAACUAGAGUACUGUAGAGGGGGUAGGAAUUUCAGGUGUAGCGGUGAAAUAGCGUAGAGAUCUGAAGGAAUACCGGUGGCGAAGGCGGCCCCCUGGACAGAUACUGACACUCAGAUGCGAAAGCGUGGGGAGCAAACAGGAUUAGAUACCCUGGUAG
rnacentral:rRNA from 1 species